rnacentral:tRNA from 1 species
GCGGGUGUAGCUCAAUGGUAGAGCACGAGCUUCCCAAGCUUGGGACGAGGGUCCGAUUCCCUUCACCCGCU